UCCUUGUUAGUACAAUGGCUAGUAUAGGGCACUCUCACGAAACGUGUUCUGCUCAGAUCGGGGUUCAAUUCCCCGGCAGGGAA